rnacentral:lncRNA from 1 species
CCCCCUUUUUCUUUUCUUUUUGGUCAUACAAAAUAUGUAGAGUGAUCCAAGUGCCAAGCAAUUCAUUACUACUUCAGGCCAUGUUUGGUUGCCAUGAAUGGGAAUUAGUGAUGGUUUUCCCAUUACAAGAAAUCCAUUCCUAGAAAUUAUCGGAAGUGACCAAUUCUCAUUCCUAUGUUUGGAUAAAUCUAGAUAAUCCCAAGACAAUAAAGCAAACCUUGUAGUGUACAAUAAAAAAAUAGGCAGCCCCUUGUAGAAGGCUC